ACGGUUCGGCCGAGCACUCUAAAUAGACUGCCUUCGUAAGGAGGAGGAAGGUGUGGACGACGUCAAGUCAUCAUGGCCCUUAUGCCCAGGGCGACACACGUGCUACAAUGGCAUAUACAAUGAGACGCAAUACCGCGAGGUGGAGCAAAUCUAUAAAAUAUGUCCCAGUUCGGAUUGUUCUCUGCAACUCGAGAGCAUGAAGCCGGAAUCGCUAGUAAUCGUAGAUCAGCCAUGCUACGGUGAAUACGUUCCCGGGUCUUGUACUCACCGCCCGUCACACCAUGGGAGUUGAUUUCACUCGAAGCCGGAAUACUAAACUAGUUACCGUCCACAGUGGAAUCAGCGACUGGGGUGAAGUCGUAACAAGGUAACCGUAGGAGAACCUGCGGUUGGAUCACCUCCUUU
rnacentral:rRNA from 1 species